rnacentral:rRNA from 1 species
GGGAUUACCUCAGUAACGGCGAGUGAAGCGGUAACAGCUCAAAUUUGAAAUCUGGCUCUUUCGGAGCCCGAGUUGUAAUUUGUAGACGCUGCUUUGGGUGUGGUGCCGGUCUAAGUUCCUUGGAACAGGACGUCAUAGAGGGUGAGAAUCCCGUAUGUGAUCGGUCGCCUUCGCCCGUGUAAAGCACGUUCGACGAGUCGAGUUGUUUGGGAAUGCAGCUCAAAAUGGGUGGUAAAUUUCAUCUAAAGCUAAAUAUUGGCCAGAGACCGAUAGCGCACAAGUAGAGUGAUCGAAAGAUGAAAAGCACUUUGGAAAGAGAGUUAAACAGUACGUGAAAUUGUUGAAAGGGAAGCGCUUGCAACCAGACUUGGGCGGUCACAAUCAUCCGGGGCUCGCCCCGGUGCACUUGUGGCGGCACAGGCCAGCAUCAGUUUGGGUGGUGGGAUAAAGGCCUUGGGAAUGUAGCUCCUCUCGGGGAGUGUUAUAGCCCUCGGUGCAAUGCCGCCUACCCGGACUGAGGACCGCGCUUCGGCUAGGAUGCUGGCGUAAUGGUUGUAAGCGACCCGUCUUGAAACACGGACCAAGGAGUCUAACAUCUAUGCGAGUGUUUGGGUGUCAAACCCAUACGCGUAAUGAAAGUGAACGGAGGUGAGAACCCGUUAGGGUGCAUCAUCGACCGAUCCUGAUGUCUUCGGAUGGAUUUGAGUAAGAGCAUAGCUGUUGGGACCCGAAAGAUGGUGAACUAUGCCUAAAUAGGGUGAAGCCAGAGGAAACUCUGGUGGAGGCUCGCAGCGGUUCUGACGUGCAAAUCGAUCGUCAAAUUUGGGUAUAGGGGCGAAAG